AAUUGAUUAGUCUAAAAAAGACAAUUGUUUUGAAAACAAUAAAUGGUUAAUAAUUUAUCCAUCAAUUU
rnacentral:tRNA from 1 species